CUUAGCUUGUUUUCCUUCUUGAUG
rnacentral:siRNA from 1 species